rnacentral:rRNA from 1 species
AACGAACGCUGGCGGCGCGCCUAACACAUGCAAGUCGAACGAGAAGGCGUAGCAAUACGCUUGUAGAGUGGCGAACGGGUGAGUAAUACGUGGGUGACCUACCCUCGAGUGGGGAAUAACCCGCCGAAAGGCGGGCUAAUGCCGCGUACGCUUCCGUCCUCACGGGGACGGAAGGAAAGCUGUACCGUGGGUACGGCGCUCAAGGAUGGGCUCACGUCCUAUCAGCUUGUUGGUAGGGUAACGCCACCAAGGCUACGACGGGUAGCUGGUCUGAGAGGACGAUCAGCCACAC